rnacentral:rRNA from 1 species
CGGAAGGUCCGGGCGUUAUCCGGAUUUAUUGGGUUUAAAGGGAGCGUAGGCCGUCUGUUAAGCGUGUUGUGAAAUGUCGGGGCUCAACCUGGGCAUUGCAGCGCGAACUGGCAGACUUGAGUGCGCAGGAAGUAGGCGGAAUUCGUCGUGUAGCGGUGAAAUGCUUAGAUAUGACGAAGAACUCCGAUUGCGAAGGCAGCCUGCUGUAGCGUAACUGACGCUGAAGCUCGAAAGCGUGGGUAUCGAA